rnacentral:tRNA from 1 species
GCCUGGGUGGCUCAGUCGGUUGAGCGUCCGACUUCGGCUCAGGUCAUGAUCUCGCGUUCUGUGAGUUCAAGCCCCACGCCAGGCU